UUCAAAAAAAAAAAAAACAAAUUUGCAUUAUCAUUUUUAUUUUUAUCUUUGAGUAGAAGCAUACACAAACGACUGCAUUCUCUCCAGGGUUUCUGUUUUUAGUCUCAGCCGCCGCUCUUGGUCUUGGGAACUGAGAGAAUCCGAUUACGAGAAUGAAAGGAUUAGCUUUUGGAGGUAUUUAUUUUGGUAAAUAUGCUCUUCAAGCUCUUGAACCGGCUUUGCUUACGGCUAAUCAUAUAAGAGCAGGGCGAGAUGCAAUUACGAAAAAUGCACCGCGCGAAAGAAAAAUAUGGAUACGAAUUUUUCCCGAUCAUCCACUUACUGUAAAACCCGCCGGAACUCGUAUGGGUAGAGGUAAAGGAUCUUUCAAAUGUUUGGCAGCUGAUGUUAAACCGGGCACAAUUCUUUAUGAAGUGGAUGGAGUAGCGGAAAAAGUAGCGAAAAAGGCAAUUUCAGUAGCAGCAUCCAAAAUACCUAUAAGAACUCGAUUUGUUAUUUCUAAAUAGAAAUAAAAUCGAGUUCUCACAAUCCAAAUUAUGGAAUUCGGAGCAUAAUUGGAGGUAAUUCUUGUUAUGUUUGAUGGGUUAUUUAUUUUUUCUAUUUUUGUCCAAUUUGGAUAUAUUGAUUUCUAUUUGUAGUGGUUCUUCUUAAAUGAAAUUAGGGAAUUAAUUUAUGAUUGUUAAUUGAAAGGCCAUUGUUGUUUUCAGUAAUCAGAUGAACUAUCAUUUUUAAAUCAAGUUAUUAGGAAUUGAACUUAAUUCUGACUUUGUGUGUUAGACUCAGAUGGGAAAGGAAUUUUAAUUUUUCAACCACAUUGUGAUUAGCAGCCUCUUAAAUCUUAAUUAGAAGAUUUAGAGAUAAAUAAAGAAUAAGGAAAACAUCAAUAAAACUAUAAUUUACAUACACUAAUAUGAGAUUGAAAUUGCAACUGCAUAUUGAUUAAACACAUCCCAAAUGUUUUAUCAAUACUUUUUAGCAGAUCCCUAAUUACAAGAUCAAGAUUGUUGAAGUCCUUCUCUUCCCCCUCCUCCAUCUCCAUCAAUCUUCUCAAUAAACUAAUAUUAAGGUAAAUUUGAUGAUCUUCCACCUCUUCUCAUAAACUAAUAACACUGUCCACAUAUUUAUUUAGCAAGAAAUACAUUCCCAAAGCCAAGACUACAGGGAGAAGGAAAACGACUCUUUUGGGCAGAAUAACUUCUUCAAGAUUUUGGUUAUUAUGAGAAACUGAUACUUCUUCAAAGAUUGUCUCUAGCUUUGGAUAAUUGCUUGAUGAUUUCCUGUGUGAUGAUGUGAGAAGGAUUGGUGCUACUUCUUCAAAAGAAUGAACAGAUUUGACACCCUUCACCAUUUGUGUAUGUACCACUAAUUGAACUUCCUUUUUUUCUGGAUUUGAAAAUUGGGAAUUUUUUUUUUCUGUGAUGAAGGGUUCUGGAGGAAGAUAGGGGGACUAGAAGAUUGGUAAAUAGUGGAGUGUAGAAAGAGAUAUAUAUAGAGAGAGAGGGGAAAGGAAUGGUUUAUUGAGGUUUGAAGAUUAUGCUUAUAAAGGAGAAGGAGAAGUGAUUAAUUUGCUAAAUUAAGGAUUGUUUUUUAAA